GACGAGCGGCGGACGGGUGAGUAAUGCAUAGGAAUCUGCCCAGUAGUGGGGGAUAGCCCGGGGAAACCCGGAUUAAUACCGCAUACGCCCUACGGGGGAAAGCAGGGGAUCUUCGGACCUUGCGCUAUUGGAUGAGCCUAUGUCGGAUUAGCUUGUUGGUGGGGUAAUGGCUCACCAAGGCGACGAUCCGUAGCUGGUCUGAGAGGAUGAUCAGCCACAUCGGGACUGAGACACGGCCCGAACUCCUACGGGAGGCAGCAGUGGGGAAUAUUGGACAAUGGGGGCAACCCUGAUCCAGCCAUGCCGCGUGUGUGAAGAAGGCUUUCGGGUUGUAAAGCACUUUCAGUGAGGAGGAAAACCUUAUGGCUAAUACCCAUGAGGCUUGACGUUACUCACAGAAGAAGCACCGGCUAACUCCGUGCCAGCAGCCGCGGUAAUACGGAGGGUGCAAGCGUUAAUCGGAAUUACUGGGCGUAAAGCGCGCGUAGGUGGUUUGAUAAGCGAGAUGUGAAAGCCCCGGGCUUAACCUGGGAACGGCAUUUCGAACUGUCAGGCUAGAGUGUGGUAUAGGGUAGUGGAAUUUCCUGUGUAGCGGUGAAAUGCGUAUAUAUAGGAA
rnacentral:rRNA from 1 species